GACGAACGCUGGCGGCGUGCUUAACACAUGCAAGUCGAACGGUGAAGCGCCUUCCUUUUUGGUGGGUGUGGAUGAGUGGCGAACGGGUGAGUAACACGUGAGUAACCUGCCCCCUUCUUCUGGAUAACCGCAUGAAAGUGUGGCUAAUACGAGAUAUUCUGGGUCUGUCGCAUGAUGGGUCUGGGAAAGAUAUUGUUUCGGUGGGGGAUGGGCUCGCGGCCUAUCAGCUUGUUGGUGGGGUGAUGGCCUACCAAGGCGGUGACGGGUAGCCGGCCUGAGAGGGUGGACGGUCACACUGGGACUGAGACACGGCCCAGACUCCUACGGGAGGCAGCAGUGGGGAAUAGUGCACAAUGGGCGCAAGCCUGAUGCAGCGACGCCGCGUGAGGGAUGGAGGCCUUCGGGUUGUGAACCUCUUUCGCCAGUGAAGCAGGCCUGCCUCGUUUGUGGGUGGGUUGACGGUAGCUGGAUAAGAAGCGCCGGCUAACUACGUG
rnacentral:rRNA from 1 species